rnacentral:rRNA from 1 species
CUGGCGGCGUGCUUACACAUGCAAGUCGCACGAGAACGCUUCAGCUUGCUGAAGUUAGUAAAGUGGCGCACGGGUGAGUAACGCGUGGGUAAUCUCCCCCCGAAUUGGGGAUAACAUUGCGAAAGCGAUGCUAAUACCGAAUAAUAUCUUAAGAACCUCGGUUUUUAAGAUCAAAGGUGGCCUCUACAUGAAAGCUUCUGUUUGGGGAUGAGCCCGCGUACCAUUAGCUUGUUGGUAGGGUAAUGGCCUACCAAGGCUACGAUGGUUAGCUGGUCUGAGAGGAUGAUCAGCCACACUGGAACUGACACACGGUCCAGACUCCUACGGGAGGCAGCAGUGAGGAAUUUUGCGCAAUGGGGGAAACCCUGACGCAGCAACGCCGCGUGAGUGAUGAAGGCUUUCGGGUCGUAAAGCUCUGUCAAGUGGGAAGAACCCACAUGGUGAUAAUACCGCCAUGUGUUGACGGUACCACUGAAGGAAGCACCGGCUAACUCCGUGCCAGCAGCCGCGGUAAUACG